rnacentral:antisense_RNA from 1 species
CCCAGCGCUUCGCGUACCAGGAAGGGGACGGCGUCCUGAAAGGGACAUUUGAAAAACGGAGGCAACGCGUCUAUUAAUUGGGUGGCGGCGCCUGGGGUCGCAGCACUCCAGAGGCCGAGAGUCUCGCCCUUUUGCCUAGUGGAGGAGCUCGGCUCACUGCAAGCUCCGCGCAACAACCCCCCUGCCGCCCCAGGUUCAAGAGAUUCUCCUGCCUCAGUCUCCCGAGUAGACUGGGAUUACAGGCGAGUGCCACCAUGCCCGGCUAAUUUUUGUAUUUUUGGUAGAGACGGGGUUUUACUAUGUUGGCCAGGCUGAUCUCGAACUCCUGACCUCAAGUGAUCCGCCUGCCUUGGCCUCCCGAAGUGCUGGGAUUACAGGCGUGAGCCACAACGUUGGGCCAGGUAUUGUAUUUCUAUGUUAUUAUUAUUUUUUGUAUUUCUAUGUCAUACAGGCUUGUAUUUCUGUUAAAAACAAGUCCUUAUCUCUUUGAGAUACAUACUGAAGUUUUUACAGGUGAAAUAAUUUGGCCAGGAGUAAUGGUUCAUGUCUGUAAUUCCCACCACUUUGGGAGGUCCAGGUCAGGGUCGGGGGGUUGCUUGAGGCCAGGAGUUUGAGAUAAGAUUGGUCAACUACAACACAUAAAAAAUAGCCAUGCAUGGUGGUGGGCACCUUUAGUCUCGAUACUUGGGAGGCUGAGGCAGGAGGAUCACUUGAGCCCAGGAGUUUGAGGCUGCAGUGCGCUACGAUCAUGCUACAGCACCCCAGCCUGGGCAACAGAUUCUAGGACAAGGAGACUGGCUUUCACAGAGGUUGGGUUGGGUUCAGUUUUCUUCAGAAGAACUUCAGAAUGCACUACAACAGGAAAAUCAUAUUCUAGAUGGAGUCAAGUCAAUCUGUUUGUAUACCAGAUACAUCUAUGAUAUACAUGCAGCUACUAUCUGAUUAUGUAUCAAUUAAAUAGAUCAUAAAUGUGGAACGAUGGGGACUUUGAGAGAUUUGUAACUGAAGCUGCCUUCAUGCUCGUUAGAAUGGUGGGGUGGAAGAGUUCCCAGUUUUAAAGGAGAAGAAGUACAAGAAGACCUGUAAUUGUUAGCAAGAUAUAUAGAACACAGUGCACAUAGCAGCACACUUCUCAAGUCAGCUCCAGGUUCAAGCUCAAAGGCCUAAAGUUUUGCAAACAUCUGGUGAAGAGGAAGAUUUUUGAGACUCUCCCAGCCUAUUACAUAAAGGAAAUAUAACCGAGAAUUUUGUCUAAAGGUUUUCAUUUGAAACAAAGCCACAUUAAAUUAAUGUGGCUUUUCCCCACUCCAAAUUAAAACACAGCGCAACAGGGGCCACAUUUAUUGGGCAGGACAGUUCCAAUAUGUGAACAUCCUCCUCCUCACUGCCGUUGGGGUGACUUGACUCAUAAGCAGGUGUUCUUACACAAAAUGUUAACCCGAAUUGCUAGUGUCACACAAAAGGAAGUGGUCUUGAUUGUGUAUGUGGGCCAGCAUGUUCUACACAUGCUGAAAGGUGGGAGAAGCACAAAUACAACCCACUCUUUAAAAAAACUAAAUAAUUCAAAGUAAAAUUUUCUAUCCCCGCCCCCUCCCCACCCUUGCCUUCUCCAAUAAUAAAAAGUAGAAUCCAG